rnacentral:rRNA from 1 species
UACAGAGGGUGCGAGCGUUGUCCGGAAUCACUGGGCGUAAAGGGCGCGUAGGCGGCUUGGUAAGUAGGGGGUGAAAUCUUGCGGCUCAACUGCAAGGCUGCCUCCUAAACUGUCAGGCUUGAGCACAGUAGAGGCAGGUGGAAUUCCCGGUGUAGCGGUGGAAUGCGUAGAGAUCGGGAAGAACAUCGGUGGCGAAGGCGGCCUGCUGGGCCGUUGCUGACGCUGAGGCGCGACAGCGUGGGGAGCAAACAGG